UCAAUUUGUGUGAAAGUGUUAGUAGUGUAUAGUGGGAGCCUAAUUAAUUCAUAAGGAAUAUCUUUUAGGUUUUGUAUUCUUGGAUGUAACCUAACAAUAUUAUAGUGUGUAACUCAAUCGGUUUAUAAUUCUCAUAUUUGAGGUUCUCGUAUACAUGGAUGUAACCUAACAGUAA